rnacentral:SRP_RNA from 1 species
GGCCGGGUUCUGCGCAAUGGGACCUCGUGAACCGAGUCAGGGCCGGAAGGCAGCAGCUCUCAGCGAUCCGCCCCGUGUGCCGCAGGGGACCUGGCCGUU